AACGAACGCUGGCGGCAGGCUUAACACAUGCAAGUCGAACGCCCCGCCAGGGGAGUGGCAGACGGGUGAGUAACGCGUGGGAACAUACCCUUUUCUACGGAAUAGCUCUGGGAAACUGGAAUUAAUACCGUAUACGCCCUACGGGGGAAAGAUUUAUCGGGGAAGGAUUGGCCCGCGUUGGAUUAGCUAGUUGGUGGGGUAAAGGCCUGCCAAGGCGACGAUCCAUAGCUGGUCUGAGAGGAUGAUCAGCCACAUUGGGACUGAGACACGGCCCAAACUCCUACGGGAGGCAGCGGUGGGGAAUAUUGGACAAGGGGCGCAAGCCUGAUCCAGCCAUGCCGCGUGAGUGAUGAAGGCCUUAGGGUUGUAAAGCUCUUUCACCGAUGAAGAUAAUGACGGUAGUCGGAGAAGAAGCCCCGGCUAACUUCGUG
rnacentral:rRNA from 1 species